rnacentral:rRNA from 1 species
UAAGGAAUAUUGGACAAUGGAGGCAACUCUGAUCCAGCCAUGCCGCGUGAAGGAAUAAGGCCCUAUGGGUUGUAAACUUCUUUUAGACGGGACAAAACCCCUUUACGUGUAAAGGGUUGAUGGUACUGUCAGAAUAAGCAUCGGCUAACUUCGUGCCAGCAGCCGCGGUAAUACGAAGGAUGCAAGCGUUAUCCGGAAUUAUUGGGUUCAAAGGGUGCGUAGGCGGACUAAUAAGUCAGUGGUGAAAGCCUGCAGCUUAACUGCAGAAUUGCCAUUGAUACUGUUAGUCUUGAGUACAGUUGAGUUAGGCGGAAUGUGUCAUGUAGCGGUGAAAUGCUUAGAUAUGACACAGAACACCGAUUGCGAAGGCAGCUUGCUAAGCUGUAACUGACGCUGAGGCACGAAAGCGUGGGGAGCAAACA